AGUGGAAGCGUCUGGAAAGGUGCGCGAUACAGGGUGACAGCCCCGUACACAAAAGCGCAUGUGCUGUGAGCUCGAUGAGUAGGGCGGGACACGUGGUAUCCUGUCUGAAUAUGGGGGGACCAUCCUCCAAGGCUAAAUACUCCUGACUGACCGAUAGUGAACCAGUACCGUGAGGGAAAGGCGAAAAGAACCCCGGCGAGGGGAGUGAAAAAGAACCUGAAACCGUGUACGUACAAGCAGUGGGAGCACAGGUUUACCUGUGUGACUGCGUACCUUUUGUAUAAUGGGUCAGCGACUUAUAUUCUGUAGCAAGGUUAACCGUAUAGGGGAGCCGUAGGGAAACCGAGUCUUAACCGGGCGUUAAGUUGCAGGGUA
rnacentral:rRNA from 2 species